GAGGGUAUAGCUCAGUGGUAGAGUGUGUGCUUGGCAUGCACGAGGUCCUGGGUUCAAUCCCCAGUACCGCCA
rnacentral:tRNA from 1 species